UUCGGUGACACCCAUCUCCUCGGCGCCACCAGUCCGAUUUGUCGAUUUCUGUUCGGCAGUUGCCCCUUUCACUGAUUCUUUCUGGCACUGUGUGUCCAAGCCUGCCCUAGCCUCUGUUUCCUACGCUGGUAAGGGCUUUACCACAUUGAUCUUUGAUAGAGCAGUCUGAGACCAGCACUCGGUGACCACGGAUCCACCACCCGACGCCACUUCCUUUUCCCCACAGUGAGGUUCUUCCAUCUCCGGCAAAGGCAAGUUGUCUGACAGUGGAACACUGCUGAGGCUUCGGAUUUAGUAACUUCACAGCAGCCAUUGGUUCCUCGACAUUGGUCCUAGAUCUUCCGCAAGAGCUACCUCCGGAUAGCCAUUGGUUCCUCGACAACAAUACCCUGAUCGAAGUUGGGUUGAAUUUGGAUUUGCUGCUAACUUAGGGAUAUUUGGUUUGGUGGACAACAUUUUUGAUAAGAGCCGAGAAGUAGAUUCCGGCAGCGUCUCCUUUCCGACAGCAACCUUUUUGGGCCGUGGAUUAAGGUAAGAAGUAAGGUAGUUGGUUUGUAUUAUUGAUGAAUUGGAUAUGUGUUGAAUUGGAGAUGAUAUGGAUUUCUAGAUGGUUAGUAUA